rnacentral:rRNA from 1 species
UUUUUGGAGAGUUUGAUCCUGGCUCAGGACGAACGCUGGCGGCGUGCCUAAUACAUGCAAGUCGAGCGAAUCCUUCGGGGUUAGCGGCGGACGGGUGAGUAACACGUAGGCAACCUG